rnacentral:rRNA from 1 species
UACGUAGGUGGCAAGCGUUGUCCGGAUUUACUGGGUGUAAAGGGCGUGUAGCCGGGCUGACAAGUCAGAUGUGAAAUCCGGGGGCUCAACCCCCGAUCUGCAUUUGAAACUGUUGGUCUUGAGUAUCGGAGAGGCAGGCGGAAUUCCUAGUGUAGCGGUGAAAUGCGUAGAUAUCAGGAGGAACACCGGUGGCGAAGGCGGCCUGCUGGACUGCAACUGACGUUGAGGCCCGAAAGCGUGGGGAGCAAACAGG